rnacentral:rRNA from 1 species
AUACGUAGGUGACAAGCGUUAUCCGGAUUUACUGGGCGUAAAGGGCGUGUAGGCGGUCUUGCAAGUCAGAAGUGAAAUUCCUGAGCUCAACUCGGGCGCUGCUUCUGAAACUGCAGGACUUGAGUGCUGGAGGGGAUAGCGGAAUUCCUAGUGGAGCGGUAAAAUGCGCAGAUAUUAGGAAGAACACCGGUGGCGAAGGCGGCUAUCUGGACAGUAACUGACGCUGAGGCGCGAAAGCGUGGGGAGAAAACAGGAUUAGAUACCGUGGUAGUCCACGCCGUAAACGAUGAAUACUAGGUGUAGGGGGUAUCGACUCCCUCUGUGCCGCAGUUAACACAAUAAGUAUUCCGCCUGGGGAGUACGGCCGCAAGGUUGAAACUCAAAUGAAUUGACGGGG